CCGAGCUAGGGCUGAGGACCCAGAGAAGAGACCGCUGGGUGACUGGUGACUGAUUGGAUGGAGGGGUGAGAGGCAGGGAGGGGGCAGGAUUGACUCCAGAGUUCUGGCUUGGCCAACAAGCUGGUGGUGGAAACACAGAAGGAAAAACCAGAGGAGAGGGAUGCAUGGAAAAACAACAUGGCAUUUAUCUCUGUCCUCUGCUAUGACAAUAUGGAGUCUGGACUGACAGUCCCUUAGAGAAUGCCAAAGGAUCUGAAGUUCCACGGAAAUCCAGUCCCCAUUACAAGGUGGGAGGUCUCACUCGCUGGAUCCACCUGCCCAGCCCACCCUCACCCCAGACCUGCUGAAUCAGGAUCCCGGGAGUCCCAGCAAAUCCUGUGGGCACCCUGCUACCCCAGCCUGCUUGUGUCAGUGUGUGAGAGCUGACAGACUGCUUUCAGAAACUGAGCUGUUCAUAGGAGCCAUCUGGAAACGUGGACCCCACCCUGUUCUGUCAUCCAGGGCUUGGCCAGUUGGCAUAGUAGGGCCUUGGCAGGAUCCUGAACG